AAAUUCGGGAGUACGGAUAGGAUUCGGCUAAAAUUAAUUCAAAUAUUUAAAAAUAGAGUUAUAAAAAUAUGUCUAACUUAUGAGACAUUAUGUAAAAAACUUACAAGGUAUUUCGAGAAGGAAAAAAUAUUGAACAAGAGGAGAAUCCGAAAGGAGAUAAAAGGAAAAGGACUGACAUAGAAAUUCUAUAUACAAGAGAGCGUUGAGCGCUGCCGGAGCUUGGUUUGCCGUCGCCGUUGAAAGCAAGUCGCGGCAUUGCCUUCCCAGUCCUGUCGUCGGCGACCGAAAGAGAACAGUUGGAAUGCUUCAAAUCAAGUCCUCAAAUCGCAGGUUAGAAUGCUUUUGUACUUUGUAGUCUGGAGUCACACAAGUCAAAGCUCACUCCGACAAGUCACAGUUGGACCCAAACAAUGUUUGCUACUCUUGCUGCCAAUUGGUUCUUCAAAAAGCUCCAGCCUUUUCUGUGCUUCUCUAUCAGUAGCCGUUCUUGGUUUAGCAGAAGUAUUAGUAACCAUGUACAUUCCGUCACGCAAUCCAAACAGCGGAGAUCUGUCGGACAAGGUAAUCGACCUGUGAGCAAGUCUACCAGAUCUAUUCAGA